rnacentral:rRNA from 1 species
UACGUAGGCAGCAAACGUUGUUCGGAAUUACUGGGCGUAAAGAGUGUGUAGGCGGUUUCGUAAGUUUGGUGUGAAAUCUCCCGGCUUAACUGGGAGGGUGCGCCGAAAACUGCGAGGCUUGAGUACUGGAGAGGAGAGCGGAAUUCCUGGUGUAGCGGUGAAAUGCGUAGAUAUCGGGAGGAACACCUGUGGCGAAGGCGGCUUUCUGGGCCUUACCUGACGCUGAGACGCGAAAGCGUGGGGGAGCGAACCGG